rnacentral:rRNA from 1 species
AUGAACGCUAGCUACAGGCUUAACACAUGCAAGUCGAGGGGCAUCAGGAAGAAAGCUUGCUUUCUUUGCUGGCGACCGGCGCACGGGUGAGUAACACGUAUCCAACCUGCCCUUUACUCGGGGAUAGCCUUUCGAAAGAAAGAUUAAUACCCGAUGGCAUAAUGAUUCCGCAUGGUUUCAUUAUUAAAGGAUUCCGGUAAAGGAUGGGGAUGCGUUCCAUUAGGUUGUUGGUGAGGUAACGGCUCACCAAGCCUUCGAUGGAUAGGGGUUCUGAGAGGAAGGUCCCCCACAUUGGAACUGAGACACGGUCCAAACUCCUACGGGAGGCAGCAGUGAGGAAUAUUGGUCAAUGGGCGCUAGCCUGAACCAGCCAAGUAGCGUGAAGGAUGAAGGCUCUAUGGGUCGUAAACUUCUUUUAUAUAAGAAUAAAGUGCAGUAUGUAUACUGUUUUGUAUGUAUUAUAUGAAUAAGGAUCGGCUAACUCCGUGCCAGCAGCCGCGGUAAUACGGAGGAUCCGAGCGUUAUCCGGAUUUAUUGGGUUUAAAGGGAGCGUACGUGGACUGGUAACUCAGUUGUGAAAAGUUUGCGGCUCAACCGUAAAAUUGCAGUUGAUACUGUCAGUCUUGAGUACAGUAGAGGUGGGCGGAAUUCGUGGUGUAGCGGUGAAAUGCUUAGAUAUCACGAAGAACUCCGAUUGCGAAGGCAGCUCACUGGACUGCAACUGACACUGAUGCUCGAAAGUGUGGGUAUCAAACAGGAUUAGAUACCCUGGUAGUCCACACAGUAAACGAUGAAUACUCGCUGUUUGCGAUAUACAGUAAGCGGCCAAGCGAAAGCAUUAAGUAUUCCACCUGGGGAGUACGCCGGCAACGGUGAAACUCAAAGGAAUUGACGGGGGCCCGCACAAGCGGAGGAACAUGUGGUUUAAUUCGAUGAUACGCGAGGAACCUUACCCGGGCUUAAAUUGCAGUGGAAUGAUGUGGGAACAUGUCAGUGAGCAAUCACCGCUGUGAAGGUGCUGCAUGGUUGUCGUCAGCUCGUGCCGUGAGGUGUCGGCUUAAGUGCCAUAACGAGCGCAACCCUUAUCUUUAGUUACUAACAGGUUAUGCUGAGGACUCUAGAGAGACUGCCGUCGUAAGAUGUGAGGAAGGUGGGGAUGACGUCAAAUCAGCACGGCCCUUACGUCCGGGGCUACACACGUGUUACAAUGGGGGGUACAGAAGGCAGCUAGCGGGUGACCGUAUGCUAAUCCCAAAAGCCUCUCUCAGUUCGGAUCGAAGUCUGCAACCCGACUUCGUGAAGCUGGAUUCGCUAGUAAUCGCGCAUCAGCCACGGCGCGGUGAAUACGUUCCCGGGCCUUGUACACACCGCCCGUCAAGCCAUGGGAGCCGGGGGUACCUGAAGUACGUAACCGCAAGGAUCGUCCUAGGGUAAAACUGG